GGGUUUAACUCCUGCUUGUUACCGUUUCAUCCGGUCGAAACCGAAUGUCGUUUUGGUGUCUGAUUCGGUAAGGAACCGGGAGCACCAUCUGCGUAGGCUUGUGGUUUAAGACUUGCGUCGCCUACGGUCUUGGACAGCCCCCGCCAGGCAGGGACCCCAAUUUUUCGAUUGGCGCAAUUACUUGCGCCA
rnacentral:sRNA from 2 species